GAGCUACAAUGGAUAAACUAACGGGCCACGGGAGGACCGCGCUUUGAUUUAUAAUCCGUAGAGAGAUACUAUCUCUUAUGCCAUUCAGGAGAGAGAAGUGAAAUAAUGGUUAAGGGAUCUCACAACCUCGGAAAUAAACCACCAAUUCGACAUGGAUCGUUCCAAAACAGAGGUUUGAGGUUUGAGCAUCGACAGCGGCUUUUAGAAACCGGCUGCCUCCGCCUGCUUCGAACGGGGAAUUUGGAAUGAGAAGCAUUUAUCGUUUUCUGUACAGACACAUGUCCUCUCUUCAUAGGUAAAUAAUCUGAUUUCAUUUCCUCGGUAAAACCUAUUCUAUAGGCUAGCCAUAUGCUUCUCAUCCUAUACCGGAACCCUUACUGCUGACUUCCACGCGGAUACGCAGCCCUCCAUUGGAUGGCAAAAUAACCAGGACAAAUUUCCUCGCAUUGAAAAGUGGAACCCAUACGAUACUCUGGCAGUAUGUACGAGGAGGAGUCGGUUGCUAUCUUUGGUUAUCUAGCUGUAUGAGUGUUACUCGGCCGUCAUAAAGCUAGCUAACCGAAUGUAGGAAUGUCCUCCAAACCUGCGACUCGGACAGGAAUAAAUGGUGUCUGGGAGUAAAGACACAAAAUAACAUAAUUGAUAUGCAAUUACAGGCCAAUACCUCAUUGCCUUUCCGGUAAGUUAUAACAAUUUUCCCUAAUCACUUAUUAUAAACAUCUGUUGAAACACUUCUGAAUUCCUCAAAACCUGAUACAACCCGAAAUUAUUUUAAUGCUUUUUCUUAUUUCAUUUAGAGAAUAUAUUCUCAAAAUAUAAGUAGGAUAAUCUUUAUAGCAUGCCUUUAAAUGAAAAGUCAACAUUUUCAACAAUGGAUUAAAAAUCAUGUUGUGAAUUGAAGUGUAUAUUUGUCCCACUUUUGUUUAGUAUGCUUGGAGCAAGAAUACUCUUUAUAUAUUUAUUUAUAUAAACACAUUUACAUUAUCACGCAAGGCAUCUAGAGUGAUUUUGCCGAAAACAUCUUCUAAAACGAAAAAUACUUCAUAAAAAGCCUUUAUUCUGGUCAGAGGAAUAAAUAACUUUAUCCAGUCAUAUGAGUGAACUGUAACAAUUGAUGUUCACGCAUGAAUAUGAAUAAAGCUUUGUCGCAUCAAAGUAUCCGCAGUUGAGCCUGUAUUCCUUAUAGUUCUCACUGCAUAAAUCAGGUUUACGCACACGCAAACACAUAUUGAAUUAAGGUUUAAUCAAAUGGAUUAAGAUUUGUAGCUCAUAUUGAUAUCAUUCUUGUCUCAGGUGGAAACGUUUUGAUUUUCCAGAAAAUGUCCGAUAUUAGCAUUUAUGACGUAUUUAGGCAUACUAUAGGCCAACGUCUAUGAAAAAGACUGUCCUGAUUAUGAUGACCUAUGUAGGCCUUACCUACACCUUGCACUGAAAUUCUGAAAAGCGUAGGCUAAUGAUAUAUUUCAGUCGAUAUUAAGUCAAGCGAUCCAUGCCAUUACAUAAACGCAUACUUUGAGUUGUGUUGUCUAGAAAGGAAGACCACUUAAGAUAUUCAUGGUUUUUGUAGAUUUUAAAUGCAUUAUACCUCCCAUGUGAGUCACAUAAUACAUUUACGCAUUGUGCGCACACCUAAUCGGCCCAAAUUAUUCAAGUGUCUCAAUUUGGACUUUCUGCCUCACGGUGCUAUAGCUGUCCCUCAAAAGGUCACUUCUAUAGCUUCUCUUGGAGAACCAAAUCCGGGGAUGCAUUUUCAUUCAACCAACAACUCCUCUCAGAGCCUGCAGUGGCGCUCAAUGGCUGGAGCGCGCUCCUGGCUAAUUGGUUUGAUUCAGUAAAGGAGGCUAUACGCUGGAUUUGUGAAACGUCCGAGCGAGCUUUUCCCACGACUGGCCGGAUCUCUCCAUUCUAGUGUGUCACCAGACAAUUUAGAAUUUCCACUGGUCAACACAGUGACGUAGGGCCUACAAGUCGCUACUCUGAUAAUCUCGUCCUUAACCAAAAACGCAUCUUCUUGACGUCUAUUGUGAGCUUUACAUUAUCCAAGUUUAGCCCGAUUUCUAAAUUCCUCCUCAGGUCUUUUAAUACUGAGAGUAUGCUAGUUGUUGAUGAUGGAAAUGAACAACUACUAUUAACUCACUUGAUUUGAACACUUUGUAUUCUAAUCAAUCUCAAUUUAUGUUUAAAAUAUCCAUCUAUUAUUAUUUAUUGUACCUUCACCUUUCUUCACUAACUGCAUUCUGAUUGUACCUCUACUACACUCAAAACAAAAGCCUUGUGUCCACCACCUCCAGCCUGCCUAUCUGAAUCUCCUCAUCAUUAACUGUAAUGCAGGCUCUGGUCCAUACAAGUCCCAACAAAGAAGAAUGGAGACAUUAUCUAAUUCAACCACACCUAUCUCACCACUCUGUUCUUCUCUAGGUCUAAUCCAUAUAAACGUGUCCUUUGCCUGUUGUAGAAAAACCCUUGGCAUGACUAUUCUAUAACCUGACAAUGAUCAAAUAAAUUGAUGCUGAAUGUUAGUGAUGAGAAUUCAAGCGUAUUGUUUUAAUGGAUACGUUUAGCUUUUUUGUUGUUGCACUAUUGUGUUGUAUUGUAUUUGGAAAUGUCUUUGUUAUUGUCAAAGGUUGAUCCAGUGCCCUUGUCACUGCAGUGGCUGCCUGAGAUACACCCACAAACUCUGCAGUAUGAACAACACAAACUGUCUACUAAAUGUGACUGCCAGCCAUUCACACCAGGUCUGGAUUGAGCAAGGGGAAAGUGGCACAGUCGUCACAAAAAAACUGAAAGCAGGAGGGGAAGAAAAAGGCCAACCCCCUUGUCCCUCUUCCCUUAAAUCUCCAUCACCGGAAGCCUUUGGUGCCAUCUGUGCCCCCGGAGAAAAGGACGGGCGAGAUGCCUCCACCCUGUGCCAACGGGGACAAAGGAGCUGCCAGUUAGAGCGGCCCCCCUCGCAGGCAGCCAGAGGACUCUGUGUGACUGACUGGGGCUGAGCUACGGAAGCCAUCUUGAUGGAGAGUCUUGCUGCUGCUCCUAAAAUGGCUGUGUUGGCAUGAGGUCCUGCAGAUGUUGACAACCUCCAGGGGAAGCCUCUUCAAUCAGCCCUGAGCCCUGGGACCUGAGCCCUGGGACCUGAGCCCUGAGCCCUGGGCCCUGAGCCCUGGGCCCUGAGCCCUGGGACCUGAGCCCUGAGCCCUGGGACCUGAGCCCUGAGCCCUGGGCCCUGAGCCCUGGGACCUGAGCCCUGAGCCCUGGGACCUGAGCCCUGAGCCCUGGGACCUGAGCCCUGGGCCCUGGGCCCUGGGACCUGAGCCCUGAGCCCUGGGCCCUGAGCCCUGGGCCCUGAGCCCUGGGACCUGAGCCCUGAGCCCUGGGACCUGAGCCCUGAGCCCUGGGACCUGAGCCCUGGGCCCUGAGCCCUGAGCCCUGGGCCCUGAGCCCUGGGACCUGAGCCCUGAGCCCUGGGACCUGAGCCCUGGGACCUGGGCCCUUCCUCAUUGGCAUCCUCUCCAGUCAAACACUGAGAAAUGAGGGCACUGAAGAAUCCCCCCUAAAGUUAACAGACAAUGUUUGGAGAUAUUUACUGUAAGGACAAUGAUUGGAGAUAUUUACUGUAAGGACAAUGUUUGGAGAUAUUUACUGUAAGGACAAUGUUUGGAGAUAUUUACUGUAAGGACAAUGUUUGGAGAUAUUUACUGUAAGGACAAUGUUUGGAGAUAUUUACUGUAAGGACAAUGUUUGGAGAUAUUUGAAGACAUUGUUUGCAGAAGUUGCGCACAGAUUAUCUGCUGAUAUAUUGCACUUGGGUAAUCAAUGUUCUCUUUUCCCCAGCUGAGAGUGUAUAGUUUCAACAUAACUUUUAACAUUACAGCAGAAUGUAAGACAAUGUGUGUAUGAUGUGAAAUCCAAAGGGAUGUGAUCAACAUGUGUUCAUAAUUUCAUUUAAGGACAGGUGUGGGUGCGUGUGCGUGUGUGUGUGUGUGUGUGUGUGUGUGUGUGUGUGUGUGGUUUGGUCCCUAUUGUACUCUAUAGAGAUCUCUGGAGUGUACUGGGCUUCAGAGAAGCACUACAGUGCCCUAAUGUGUGGGCUGUUUACAAGAGAAGCUCUCUGGAUGUCUACCCUCUGUCAUGUGCAAUUAGUUACUUUAUGAAUAGAACUGACUACUCUAUGCAAAUAAAUGUGAAUGACUCACCCUCUGGCUGUAUUGCAAAUGUUGUUUAAUGUUUGACUGUCACAGUGAAAAGAAAGACAUUGUUUGGUGAAGAUUCCAUCCAUUUACUGUAUAUCCAUCAAAUGCUGCAUUUUUCCUAUUACAAAUAUUAUCUGCAUGUGUUCAUAGUGAUCAGGGAAUGUUCAACAUGAAAUGUGUUGGAUACAGUAUUGAAGCAGUCAGAUUAAUAGCCGUCUCAUUGCCUGAUUACUACUAUUAUCCUUAUUCAGAGAGAUAGACAGUUUUGAACAUACCUGCAAUAAAGAAAGGGACACAUACUUGUACACAAACGUGUUACAAAACAUGUUUUUGUAAUUGAGUUCUGACUUGUCAUGACUUCUGUGCUGUUUGAAUUGAAUGUGUAUGCAGAAUAAAUAAUACAACAGAUGUC